UCAUUUAUAGUGUGGUAUCAAUUACAGUUGGAUUUAAACAAACAUAAUUUAACGUUAUUGAUUACUCAUUACAUUACCAAUAUGUGAACCAAACGACACCUAUGCGGUUAGCUACAAACAGUAUCUUUUUAGGUGAACUUGUCAAAUCUUUUCAGUAUCAUUUCUAGAAAGGCUCGAAUAACUGCAUUUGGAGCAAGUCAUAAGCAGUGGGCCGUACAUUAAAAUUGAUCAUCAGGAUUUUGAUGCGUGUAAUUAUUGAUCUUGGUGUACAAACAUGGUUUAUGAGUCUUUUCUUUUAUUAGUGAAGAUUUGUACUGUUUCCUGACAUUUCAGUUCUUAGUACCUGAAAUCCAGGAAAUGACUGGAACCGAUGCACCAAUGACUAUUCUGGCUAUGAUGCAUCUACUGGCAAGCUGUUACUGCCCCUCGAAAGAAGUUCCCAAGCGGGCAGCACUGGAUGAUCUACAGGACUACAACCUUUUCUCAAAUCCAUCACUUCAGAGCGGGCCACAUGCAUAAUGAAAUGUUGUAUAUUAUUGUUGAGAUUUGGAAACAUUGCACCUUAUAACUCAGCCUUGUUGCCUUGACUGGACCUAUAGGCACUUUGGGUACCAAACGAGUGAUUUUUGGAGGCAAGAAAAUGGGUGGGUGACUAGGAAGAGAGCAUGACGAGCUUUGAUAGUUUACUGGCCGAGAAAUUUGACUCAAGACUGCAUGCAUCUCGAUAUGCCCUAGUAUGUAAAUAAAUAAAUUGUCAUCGGUUCUAUCGUCGUGAUAGAAGUGGAUUUGAACUAACAGCACAAGGCAGGCUAGCAGAAUAGAAAAAUACAGAUGCAUGUGUUGUUUCAGACACGUCUGUUUCUUUACGAUGAUUCAAGGCCAAGUAUGAAUUGUAUU